ensembl:lncRNA
CUUAAGGAUUAAGGGAAGAAGCCUUGCUGGAAUUCUGCCAAAAGUUAGCACUCAGCCAAAGCUUACCAGCUUACUGAACCCAAAAAACACUCUUCCAAGAAUUUAGACAGAGGUCUAUGGCGGUGUGUUUGAUGAAUGUCAGGGCCAGCAGUGUCAAGGUCUUCAUCAUGCUGGGACUGUAAGCUAUAUAUGGACAUGUCUGAUUCAUUCAACCACUUGCAUUCUGAAUGGACGUGGGUGUCACAAUACACGUUCCUGGGGCACAUUAACGACUAUGACAAACCUCAACUACUCAUUUCAAUAGUAUCGGUUUGACUAAUCUAACCAAGAUGUGGCGGCAAGUUAAGUCCACUGGUUACCCUACUUACCCUCACCUAAAUAGAUUUAAAACUACACAACACAUUAGGCAUCCAAUAGGAGGGCCAAUAAGAUAGCUGACAGGAAGCAGAAAAAAAAAGUGGACGGUAAGACAUACUUUUCUUGUUCACAAGCAACUUUGUGCUCAAGGCUAUGUUUUUAUGAGGAAAGAAAUAAAGAAUGCACCAGAAUUCA